rnacentral:lncRNA from 12 species
AUGAAUUUGACUCACUCUGGCCCUUUGGUGACCUUUGGCUUUGUGCCUUGUGUUCUUUGGUUGACAUUUUAUUCCUUCUCUACUGCUUCUUCUGAUUGUUUUUUUUUUUUUUUUUUCCCUAGGACUCUUAGCAUUACUCAUGUCAGGACAGAGUCAUAGGGCAGUGGCCAGUCCCCUCGGGGAGCACUGCUCUUGCACAUCGCAGAGUAUUAGGUGGUUUCAUUCCACUGCCAUUAGCCACAUGCCGAACACUGAUGUUCCAACCAUCUGGCCACUGGGAGGAUAACUGGCUGAGACAGCAAAUACCGUGAUUGCAAGAAGGCCCGGCUGAUCCUGCUGCCCGUCUGUGCACCAACCCAGGCCCAUCCAGGACACUGUGGCAUUGCAGUGGCCAGCUCCUGUGGGAUGCUCAGAGCCCCUCCAUUAUGGAGCGAAGGUCCUGCAGUCCAGCCCUGAGGGGCUCCAGGACCCAAAUGGCAGCCUCAGAGAUCAGUGGUCAUGCAGACAUGCUCAAUCAGAAGCACACGCUGCAAGGACUCUGCUAUCAAUUCCUCCUGGUAUGAACCUUCUUGCUUGCAUUCAGGCUUCCUCCCAUUGGUACCCCAAAGGUCCUUGGACUCUGCCUGGAGAAUGUCAAGCAGGAGCAGGUGGGGAUCUUUCUAGAGAUCCCAACUGCAGAGAAUUACCAGCUCCACCUGCUUCCAAAAGGACACUGACUUCAGGGACGGUCACCACAUGGAGACACUGAGAGCUUUUAGACUGAAACAAAAACAUGGAUUGACAAUGAAGAUCUCAUUGCUUAUCCAAUACUCUUGGAAUAAAUCAAGUGGGAGUGCCUAGAAAAGACA